CUGGGACUCUGGAAACUCCUCCUU
rnacentral:piRNA from 1 species